rnacentral:rRNA from 1 species
AAAACGACUCUCGGCAACGGAUAUCUCGGCUCACGCAUCGAUGAAGAACGUAGCAAAAUGCGAUACUUGGUGUGAAUUGCAGAAUCCCGUGAACCAUCGAGUUUUUGAACGCAAGUUGCGCCCAAARCCAUUCGGUUGAGGGCACAUCUGCCUGGGCGUCACGC